rnacentral:rRNA from 1 species
CCUACGGGCGGCAGCAGUGGGGAAUAUUGGACAAUGGGCGAAAGCCUGAUCCAGCCAUGCCGCGUGUGUGAAGAAGGCCUUCGGGUUGUAAAGCACUUUCAGUGGGGAAGAAAGCCUUGGGGCUAAUACCCUCGAGGAAGGACAUCACCCACAGAAGAAGCACCGGCUAACUCCGUGCCAGCAGCCGCGGUAAUACGGAGGGUGCGAGCGUUAAUCGGAAUUACUGGGCGUAAAGCGCGCGUAGGCGGUCUGAUAAGCCGGUUGUGAAAGCCCCGGGCUCAACCUGGGAACGGCAUCCGGAACUGUCAGGAUAGAGUGCAGGAGAGGAAGGUAGAAUUCCCGGUGUAGCGGUGAAAUGCGUAGAGAUCGGGAGGAAUACCAGUGGCGAAGGCGGCCUUCUGGACUGACACUGACGCUGAGGUGCGAAAGCGUGGGUAGCAAACAGGAUUAGAUACCCGGGUAGUC